GGGGCCGUAGUCUAGCCUGGUAGGAUGCGCGGUUCGGGUCCGCGUGAUCCCGGGUUACAACUCCGCGGCCCCA
rnacentral:tRNA from 1 species